UGGUUGAUCCCGCCAGUAGUCAUAUGCUUGUCUUAAAGAUUAAGCCAUGCAUGUCUAAGUAUAAGCUUUUAUAUGGUGAAACUGCGAAUGGCUCAUUAAAACAGUUAUAGUUUAUUUGAUGUUUGUUUCUACAUGGAUAACCGUGCUAAUUGUAGGGCUAAUACAUGCUCGGGCUGUUUACAGUUGCGUUUAUUAGACCUAAAACCUCCCCGCUUUUGCGGUGUUUCGGUGAUUCAUAAUAAAUUAGCGAAUCGCAUGGCUUUGCCGGCGAUGUAUCAUUCAAGUUUCUGACCUAUCAGCUUUGGACGGUAGGGUAUUGGCCUACCGGGGCAACGACGGGUAACGGGGAAUUAGGGUUCGAUUCCGGAGAGGGAGCCUGAGAAACGGCUACCACAUCUAAGGAAGGCAGCAGGCA
rnacentral:rRNA from 1 species